rnacentral:tRNA from 1 species
GCCUUCGUGGUGUAGUGGUCAACACAUCGAUGCGUAACCGAGAGGUCCGUGGUUCGAUUCCCGGCGAAGACG